GAAGCCCAUGGGCUGGUAACACCCACCUAAGUAAGUUGGCGGCUCCCGGUUGUUCUAUUUCAGUUGCGUCUGUCUUCCCUCUACAACCCACGUUUUAAACAAAAAUCUCAGUCUUGUUUUUCCGAUUUAAAACAUCAACAUGGCUAAACCCAAGCAACACAAGAAACCACCACAGAAGAAGCCACAAAACCCACAAAACAAGAAGCAGGGAAAACAGGAUGAUCCUUCUCAAUUUCGGAGUCAGGUGGAUGCUCUAGGCCUUCGCAUUGUCGAAGUGACAGCAGACGGUAAUUGUUUCUUCAGAGCCCUUGCUGAUCAGUUGGAAGGUAAUGAGGAGGAACAUCAAAAGUACCGCAGCAUGGUGGUGAAACACAUAUUGGACAACCGGGAGAUGUUUGAGCCCUUUAUUGAAGAUGAAGUCCCAUUUGAUGAUUAUUGCCAGACCAUGGAAAAUGAUGGUACUUGGGCUGGAAAUAUGGAAUUGCAGGCAGCUUCUCUUGUAACACAUAGUAACAUAUGCAUCCAUCGGAACAUGUUUCCUCGGUGGUACAUAAGAAAUUUCGAUGAUUCUCAAGUUCACAUGGUCCAUUUGUCUUAUCAUGAUGGGGAGCAUUAUAAUAGUGUGCGGUUAAAGGAUGAUCCUUGCGAUGGACCUGCAAGGUCAAUUGUAAUUAAGGCGGAUGCCGAUCUUUCAGCGCCAUCUCAUCUACCGAAAGAUAGGGCCAGCAAACCGUAUGCUCAAGCUGGUAUGAAAACUUUUCAGCCCGGGUUAGUAAAGGUGGUUAUGGCUGGAAGUGGAUGUGAAAACAGAGAAAAAGUGGAACAGAUUCUAAAGCAGGUAAAUGGAGAUGUUGAUGCUGCAAUAGAGUUUCUAAUAGCAGAACAAGGAGCAGAAGAAUGCUCUUCAAAUUCUGAAUGCAUUCCUAGUCAGGCUAGUACUACUGGUUGCGAUGAAAAUGAGAGUCAUGAGAAGCACAAAGAAAACAUGGUAGAGGAGAGCAGUCACAGCACUAAUGAUGAAGUGAGCAACAGCUCCACAAAAGCCAAUGAUAAUAUCACAUUGCAACAAAAUGACAAGAAGAUUCCAAGAAACAGAGUCUGCCCGUGCGGUUCAAAAAAGAAAUACAAAGCUUGUUGUGGAACUUCGUCGGGGAAACAAUCUGCUAAGUUUCUAGUUAACCAAGCCGCUGACUCCAGAAGGAACAAAAAAGAUACGAAGAAAGGGAUUUCUGCAAAAGCUGGAGUAUCUUGUGAAUAUGACUCAGUGACACGUGAUAUGGGUGCACUUUGUAUCUAAUAUGAUAACAAAUAAAAUUUUGUGCUCCCCAAGACGAGCGAAACUGCUGACAGAAGCAAAAUUGCAAACUGGGAAAGGAUAUACAGAAGGAGAGAUAAUGAUGUUAAAUUAUUUGAAAUUUGUAUUGCUAAAGUAAGAUACUUUUGGGAAGAAUGUGCAAAUCUUGAUUGUAUAUAUUUUUUCUCAUGGGAGAUCUUGAAUAAGAAACCAGUUUUAACAGAAA